CUUUUUGGGUCUAGGUAGUUAUUUCUGCGUCAUGCUUGGUUCUUGGCCCAUUCAGUCUGGGCGGUCCGUGGGUACAUUCCAUCACCUUUUCCUGAUGUUACAUUCUCUCAGCAACCCUUUCGGUUGUUGAUAAUGGGCACGGCCCGAGGUUAAAUACUACUCCGUCUACAAACGGUCUGGUUUACUCCUAGUUGCUCCCAUCUCUCAGAGAGUGUUUCAGAGAGAGAUCUAAUGGUCAGAGAGGGACCUCAUUCCUACGCUGAUAUUAUUGAGCGUGAACCACCGCAUUCAC